rnacentral:rRNA from 1 species
AGAGACAGCAGUAGCCGCGGUAAUACGUAGGUGGCAAGCGUUGUCCGGAAUUAUUGGGCGUAAAGGGCUCGCAGGCGGUUUCUUAAGUCUGAUGUGAAAGCCCCAGGCUCAACCGGGGAGGGUCAUUGGAAACUGGGAAACUUGAGUGCAGAAGAGGAGAGUGGAAUUCCACGUGUAGCGGUGAAAUGCGUAGAGAUGUGGAGGAACACUAGUGGCGAAGGCGACUCUCUGGUCUGUAACUGACGCUGAGGAGCGAAAGCGUGGGGAGCGAACAGGAUUAGAUACCCCGGUAGUCCCUGUCUCUUAUAC